rnacentral:rRNA from 1 species
UGCAAGUCGAGCGGUAACAGAUCCAGCUUGCUGGAUGCUGACGAGCGGCGGACGGGUGAGUAAUGCAUAGGAAUCUGCCCGAUAGUGGGGGAUAACCUGGGGAAACCCAGGCUAAUACCGCAUACGUCCUACGGGAGAAAGGGGGCUCCGGCUCCCGCUAUGGGAUGAGCCUAUGUCGGAUUAGCUAGUUGGUGAGGUAACGGCUCACCAAGGCCACGAUCCGUAGCUGGUCUGAGAGGAUGAUCAGCCACAUCGGGACUGAGACACGGCCCGAACUCCUACGGGAGGCAGCAGUGGGGAAUAUUGGACAAUGGGGGAAACCCUGAUCCAGCCAUGCCGCGUGUGUGAAGAAGGCCCUCGGGUUGUAAAGCACUUUCAGCGAGGAAGAACGCCUAGCGGUUAAUACCCGCUAGGAAAGACAUCACUCGCAGAAGAAGCACCGGCUAACUCCGUGCCAGCAGCCGCGGUAAUACGGAGGGUGCAAGCGUUAAUCGGAAUUACUGGGCGUAAAGCGCGCGUAGGUGGCUUGAUAAGCCGGUUGUGAAAGCCCCGGGCUCAACCUGGGAACGGCAUCCGGAACUGUCAAGCUAGAGUGCAGGAGAGGAAGGUAGAAUUCCCGGUGUAGCGGUGAAAUGCGUAGAGAUCGGGAGGAAUACCAGUGGCGAAGGCGGCCUUCUGGACUGACACUGACACUGAGGUGCGAAAGCGUGGGUAGCAAACAGGAUUAGAUACCCUGGUAGUCCACGCCGUAAACGAUGUCGACCAGCCGUUGGGUGCCUAGCGCACUUUGUGGCGAAGUUAACGCGAUAAGUCGACCGCCUGGGGAGUACGGCCGCAAGGUUAAAACUCAAAUGAAUUGACGGGGGCCCGCACAAGCGGUGGAGCAUGUGGUUUAAUUCGAUGCAACGC